AAGACCGCCCCGCCUGCGAUAGCAGCCACCCCAGUAGAAAGAAACCCUAGCUGCCUCCCUCUUCUAUAUAAACACAUCGUUUGUCACCAAAGCUCAUACGCAGUCGCCGUCUGCUCUCAGAUCCAUUCCACCUGGGUCUUCAGUCUUCAUCUUCCUCUCAACAGAUUGAGAUGGUACCUGUGGAAAAUUGUGGUGGAGGACAGCCAACAGUAUGAUGCAAGGGCUAGCAAUUUUUGUUGAAUAGGAAGUCUCAAGAAUGAAGUUCGGGAGGAAGGUGUCAUGAGUGGAUUAUAGGCGAUUGGAGGUAUGGGAAAACAAUUUUAGCUAAAAUCCUUUACAAUUCUAUUUUUGGAAAUUUCGAAGUUCUAUUUCUCUCGAUUGCAUCAAAGGUUUGAGAUAUUCCGAAAACUGGAAUUUGGCUCGUUUGCAAGAAAAAUUGCUAUCCACUCAACCAUGUACUUUCCCAUCAACUCAAGUCAUGCACUUUGCGAGUCCCAUUCUCAUCCUUAGAUCAUAUACUCCACUAGCUGCACAUAGAUCACAACCGUCAGCAGUACUUACUUUCUACUCCACCCGCCGAAAAAACAAGCAAUGUGGAUAAAAAUUUUCUCGUCAUCCAACCAUCAUAGAUUAUUUUAUGGUUUGGCAAGAGCUUAUGUUGAAUUUUUUCAGCUCACUAACACAUAAGUUAGAACCCAGUGCUAAAGAAAGGUGUUGAGUGUAUUUCUGAGCUCUAUCAGCAAGAUCUCUCCUUAUUUCUAUGUUUCUGUUCCAGAAGCAUACUCUUAAAGAGUUCAUGAGCGUCAAAUCCCUCGAUGUGAUCAAUUUCUCUUACCAAAGCUUCAGCAAAGUAUCUGUGUUGUCCUUGCAAACAAAUGAAGUUUCAGGAAUCUCUCGAAGUUUCCUUUGAUGCCACCACGAAAAGCGGAACCUUUAAAAUUUCUUAAAAUAGAGGUGUAAAGGGUUUUAGCUAAAGUUGUCUUCCCUAUACCUCCCAUCGCCCAUAAUCCAUUGGUGAGACCUUCGUUCUGAACUUUCAUCCUGAUACUCCAUAUUCAACAAUGAUUUCAGCUUCCCCAUUCUCUCUAUUUAGAUGUAUGUUGGGCAGAAGAAGUUUGCUUCCCUGGUGAUGAAAGGUAUUGCAAUUUCAAACAGGGCUUCCCAAAUAUAAACGCCUUGAAGUUGGAACAAAUCAUUCACAGUCCAUCAACCCUCACCUCUUCCUCCUCUUUUCAGUAAGUUUGCUUUUUGAGGUAUGCUACUAUCUACAUUACAACCUCAGGUUGAUUUUAUACUCUGUUUCUUAGAUUUAGUUAAUACUCAGUUGUGAUUCUGGUUCUUAAAAGGAGGAAACAGAUGCGAUGAACAUCC